GAUGUGACAUGUGUGUUAGACUAUUGUUAGAAUUUGCCCAAAACACUUUUUAAGAAAUACUUUCUGCGCAUUUCAAACUGUUAUUAUGCGCAUUAAUUAAGAACAGUUUGUUAUUUCUUUAUUUAUUUUUAGUAGUUGUGUUAUACAUGUAUUGACAUGGUCUAAAACUUUAAAGCAUUUAAUAUUUCUUGUGUUUUGAGUUUUGUCAAUGGUCACAUUUUGGACAUAGCAUAUUUACUUUAAGUUAUACUGUUCACACAUAAAUUUGUAGUUUACAUGUACAUGUAGGUGGAAUAAUUUAAGUGCUCCUUGCAAAUACCUAUUAUUAAGUUGUGCUUAUCUUAUUUAAAAAUAAAUAAAUACACAUGUGCUUACAUAAAGUGUUUCAGUAUUUAUUCGAGUGUUGUUUAUAGACUAGUGGUAAAAAAAGUCUGUUUAUAGAUAUAAAAAGAUGUGGUAUGAGUGCCAAUGAUACAACUAUCCCUUCAUUUUUUUUUAUAAUAAGCCAUCAC
rnacentral:lncRNA from 1 species